rnacentral:rRNA from 1 species
UACGACUACAUAUCAGGCAUAUCAAUAAGCGGAGGAAAAGAAACUAACUAGGAUUCCCUCAGUAACGGCGAGUGAAGCGGGAAGAGCUCAAAUUUGAAAUCUUCAAGGUUCUACCUUGACGAAUUGUAGUUUAAGGAAGUGUUUUCUGUUGGAGUUUUGGUAAAAGUUCUUUGGAAUAGGACAUCAUAGAGGGUGAGAAUCCCGUAUUUGACCAUUAUUUUCAGCUGUGUGAUACACUUUCAAAGAGUCGGAUUGUUUGGGAAUGCAGUCCAAAAUGGGUGGUAAAUUUCAUCUAAAGCUAAAUAUUGGCGAGAGACCGAUAGCGAACAAGUACCGUGAGGGAAAGAUGAAAAGAACUUUGAAAAGAGAGUUAAACAGUACGUGAAAUUGUCAAAAGGGAAGCGUUUGACACCAGUGUUGUUUUCUCGAAAAUCAAUUAAAAAGAGUUGGAUUUUGUGUUGUAUUGACCUUAACAGCUUGCUUCACUCUUUUCCAGCUUUUUUUAAUGCACUUUUCGUUUAACAAGUCAACAUCAGUUUCUUUUGUUGUAAAAGGGUCAUUGGAAGGUGGCUUUCUCUUCGGAGAAAGUGUUUAUAGCCUUUGAUCUCUGCAAUCGGAGAGACUGAGGUCUGCAGCGUAGAUCCUUCGGGGUUAGAUACAUUUGUGCUAAGCUACAGCUUUUCAUAGACAACUUGUUGACUAUGUUUAGUCUUGUAACUUACCCGCUUAUGCUAUUUUACCUACGCUUAGGAUGUUGAGCGCAUGUCUCUCUCU